AAUAAGAUUAUUAUUAUUAUUUUUAUCUCCCAAUAAUUACAUGGAAUAUUUGAAAUUCAAGCACUCCCUAGAUGACUCAGCUUGGAGACUAGCAAAACCAAUAAUCAACAUAAAACUAGUCGGAUUUAAGGCACUCUUCGCACGAAGAUGGACAAAUUGUAGAUGAUUAAGAAAUUACCUUAAAUUUAUACCAUUUAAACAUGUCAUCUUAUUUCUCGAAUCAUCCUAAGACUUACAAAGUCUCCUAUAACUUAAGCAUAAGUCACAUAAUACUUAUAAUUUAGUCCCUAUUAAUCGAUUUCAAGCAUAUACCACUUCUGUAUCUUAGCCGCAUAACAUUUAUAUUUUAGUUUCUAUUUGUAAUGGCCCAAAUUUGCUGCCCAAAUAAACCAAAAAAAAAAACAUAAAUUAAACAAAAUUAUAACAGUCCCUUAAAUACUUUAGUCCAAUUACAAAAAACCAGUAGCCCCAUAGCCCAAAUAUAAGGGCCCACUAACUGGAACAGACCCAAACAGCCUUAAAUCGAUGCUCAGCUUUGGCAAACCCUAGGACAAAAGGGGUCCUCGAGUCGCAGCAACCUCAGCAGCCUCCAGGCACCGUACACUCCUCCUGGCGCCACGCACGCUCCCGUACAUACGCCAGCACCACCCCGUACGCCCCGCACCAAUUUGCCAGCGCAUGUCCUCUGCUCCGUACCUGCGAACAAGACAAACACAGCAACAAACAGAGACAAAAGAGAAAAUAUUAUUUUUCUUUUAUUUGUUUUUCUUUCGUUUCGGAUAUAAAGCCAGAAAAUGUUCAUUGUAAUGAAAAAAGGGGCGCAUUUACGCAACAAAAAUAUACAAACAGAUACUAUAAAGAGAGAUUUUUUUUACGAACACAAGCAAUACGAAUACUUACAAAAAAAAGCAGAGGUGAUUUCUUUUCUUCCUCGAAUCCUCUUAGUUUUCCAUAUAUCAUUGCGUUUUUGGUUUAGGGGUCAUUCACCAUUAUCGUUUUGAAAAUAAAGAGAUGAACAAAGGAACGGUGAAAGAGGAGCUUACCUUGCGAAGCUAGCCGUCGUCCCCCCUUUUACUUCGUCGAAAUCGAAGUCUGAAUGAGGGUUUCAAAGGCGAAAACCCCUCUUUUAGGGCUCGGAUGCGCAGACCGUCGCUCGUACUGACGAAUUAGUGCUAAAAGGAGCAUUUGGAGGUCGAUUGAGCAACGAGAGAGGGGAAGGGGCUAGGGUUCGGCUGAAUAACUCAGUCUUCAGCCCUUUUAAAGGGUUAAAAGCGAUGCCGUUUCAAGCCCAUUACAAUGGCUCAAAAACGACGUCGUCGGAUGGAGCCUCGAUCUGAUCCGUUUAGCUGCCCCGACGACCCGCGCGUUUUCGCGAAGAGGGUUUAUUUACAGCAUCGGUCCCUCCCUGUUGCACCAUGUUUCAUUUGGCUCUUAUUUAUUUUUUUAUUUUUAUUAAUUUAGCUAUGUAAUUUAUACACGUUUGCAAAUGGACCGGCGCUUGAAUACAGCCUUUUAGGAUCUGGUAUAUUGUCAGUUUUAGUCCCUAGCUGUUUCCGCGCAUGGACUAUUGGUCCCUCCACUGUUUUUGUUUAGUUUCAAUUUUACCUUGUGUGUUUUAGUUUAAUUUUAAUUAGGUCUUUUAUUUUAUAACUUUAUAAUUUCUUUUAUUUACUUACUAGUAUAUUUUCAAGCAGCUAUGACAGUCUUUUUAGUGUUAUAAAUUUGUUUUUUUUGUAAGAUUAUUAUCAUACUUCGUAUAUCUUGAAUGUUUAUUUCUUUAGUGUUAUUAGGCAUAUAUAUGUUUUACAAAAAAUCCUAAUGC
rnacentral:lncRNA from 1 species